rnacentral:rRNA from 1 species
AGAGUUUGAUUAUGGCUCAGGAUGAACGCUAGCUACAGGCUUAACACAUGCAAGUCGAGGGGCAGCAUAUCGAAAGCUUGCUUUGAUGAUGGCGACCGGCGCACGGGUGAGUAACGCGUAUCCAACCUUCCCUAUACUAGAGGAUAGCCCGGCGAAAGUCGGAUUAAUACUCUAUGUUGUAUUUCGAGGACAUCUGAAUAAUACCAAAGGUUUACCGGUAUAGGAUGGGGAUGCGUCUGAUUAGGUUGUUGGCGGGGUAACGGCCCACCAAGCCCACGAUCAGUAGGGGUUCUGAGAGGAAGGUCCCCCACAUUGGAACUGAGACACGGUCCAAACUCCUACGGGAGGCAGCAGUGAGGAAUAUUGGUCAAUGGACGAGAGUCUGAACCAGCCAAGUAGCGUGCAGGAAUGACGGCCCUAUGGGUUGUAAACUGCUUUUAUACAGGGAUAAAGUGCACUGCGUGUAGUGUUUUGUAGGUACUGUAUGAAUAAGGACCGGCUAAUUCCGUGCCAGCCGCAGC